rnacentral:rRNA from 1 species
GACGAACGCUGGCGGCGUGCUUAACACAUGCAAGUCGAACGGAAAGGCCCAGCUUGCUGGGUGCUCGAGUGGCGAACGGGUGAGUAACACGUGGGUGAUCUGCCCCUAACUUCGGGAUAAGCUUGGGAAACUGGGUCUAAUACCGGAUAGGACAAUCGUUUAGUGUCGGUUGUGGAAAGUUUUUUCGGUUAGGGAUGAGCCCGCGGCCUAUCAGCUUGUUGGUGGGGUAAUGGCCUACCAAGGCGUCGACGGGUAGCCGGCCUGAGAGGGUGGACGGCCACAUUGGGACUGAGAUACGGCCCAGACUCCUACGGGAGGCAGCAGUGGGGAAUAUUGCACAAUGGGCGCAAGCCUGAUGCAGCGACGCCGCGUGGGGGAUGACGGCCUUCGGGUUGUAAACCUCUUUCGGCAGGGACGAAGCUUUGGUGACGGUACCUGUAUAAGAAGCACCGGCUAACUACGUG